rnacentral:lncRNA from 1 species
GCUUCGAUGAGGCCUCUGACCUGCUAUGCCAGCAAGUCAAACUGCUCCGCGCCGACCGCCGCCGCUGGAGGAGGAGGAGGAGGUUGAGAAAUAGGAGGGGAGGCUGGAGCCGGAGAUCUGGCCGCAGAGGCCGUGGACCGUCGCGUGGACGCCUUGCGUGGAGGCAUCGAGUGUGGAUCCAGCAGGGGAAAAUAAGGAGUGGGUGUCGGAGGAGAUGAUCGGAGGCGGCUCCGUUGAACGC